AUGCAACCAUCUAAGCUUCAUCUUCCAAGAGUUAUCCUACUUGCCCAGCAAUGCUCUGCCCAAGUGAAUGUAAAAACUACAAAGUGCAUCGACAAGAUCAAUAAGUCUAGAUGGAGCUCAAGUCUCCUCAACAAUGACAAUCUUAGGUUUCUUUAUUGCAUUUUCAUUUGUAUCUUGCUUGAUUGUUUAAACAUUGUCUGCAUGUAG